GAUGAACGCUGGCGGCGUGCCUAACACAUGCAAGUCGAGCGAUUCUCUUCGGAGAAGAGCGGCGGACGGGUGAGUAACGCGUGGGUAACCUGCCCUGUACACACGGAUCACAUACCGAAAGGUAUGCUAAUACGAGAUAAUAUACUUUUAUCGCAUGGUAGAAGUAUCAAAGCUUUUGCGGUACAGGAUGGACCCGCGUCUGAUUAGCUAGUUGGUAAGGUAACGGCUUACCAAGGCGACGAUCAGUAGCCGACCUGAGAGGGUGAUCGGCCACAUUGGAACUGAGACACGGUCCAAACUCCUACGGGAGGCAGCAGUGGGGAAUAUUGCACAAUGGGCGAAAGCCUGAUGCAGCAACGCCGCGUGAGCGAUGAAGGCCUUCGGGUCGUAAAGCUCUGUCCUCAAGGAAGAUAAUGACGGUACUUGAGGAGGAAGCCCCGGCUAACUACGUGCCAGCCGCCGCGGUAA
rnacentral:rRNA from 1 species